CACUCAUUAAUGAAUCUUCCAUUAUAAUUUUCGUAUAAUUAGAAAUGUUUUUCAAAUACAAAUUUUUGGGAAAUAAACUAUAAUAAUACUCACCAUCAAUAUAUUCUUAAAACUAAAUGAAAGAGAAUUGUAUCUUGAGUUCACAAUCCCUUGGUCCAUUUGCUUUUCAUGAAUACCCUGUUGACCUCCCUCUCAUGGUUUUGCCAAGACUUUCGGCAAUAAUUUCCCACCAAAGGACCUGCAAAUGAUGAAGCUAAUAAGCUACCGCAAAUGAAACAAAUGGAUGAAACCCCACAACCAGCCAUCUCAUUUCUCACAAUCCUAUCAUGGACAUUUACCCCGACCAGCCCACAGUAAAAAGAUUAAUACAGAGGAUGAACAUAUAACCUUCAAGACUAGAAACAAAGAAUAAGGGUGAACAGGGAUGGAGGAAGAGGAUAUCCUGGCUUAAUUCCACGCUACCUUUUAAAACACGACUUGGUACCACCAUUGAUAAUGGUACAGAAAGCAACACAAGGGUUUACAAAUUGAUUUUUAAUUAUAAAAAGAGAAAAGGUUCACAAACUGAUUAUGCAGGACUUCGCCCGGAAAUUCCACGAUGGUUUGAUCCCCGAGGAUUUACAAGGAACAAAACAGAGUUGCAGAAACGUUUUCAUCAGGUGUUUUGCGACUCAUGCAUUCCACAACUUAAUGGUAUCCUGCCUUCUGCUGAAGUGAAAGCUCCUAUUUUGGGUGAGUCGCCGUAGUUGAAGAAAGAAUCUAUUCAAAAGGCAUGAUGAGCCCAGACAAUUUCUCGC